rnacentral:misc_RNA from 1 species
GCGAGUUCAACCCUCUAUAACCAUGUGAACGAACAGCUUCGUUGCUUCGGCAGCGCACACCCAGCGGGCUCCUGAGCCCCGGGGCCGCCUGCCGAAAGAACGCAAACUCUUGUAACCACUGUAUCUCUGAGUGACUUAUUCAAUAAGUUA